CAUAGAGAAGGGGCUGGUGUUUACAGUUUGUGUUGGACUCAUGUUCUCAGGAAUUAGAAACUGCUUGUAUGUUGCUAAACAUGCUGGCGUAUCUCAGAGGUAAUAAUUCUGCUGCAGAGACAAGGUUGGAGUGAAGGUGAUCAUACAAAUUAUAACCUUACUGCGGAUGAAAACCCAGGAUGCAGAAGAGGCAUGGGAGGAGUGCCUUGCAAGCUGAUUCCAGUCUCUGCCAGGAAUGUGGCAGUUCUAAGGGCUGUGUGUACCAUAUGUACCUUUAUCUCUGGGACAUGCACAGCUGGUGGUGUUGUUAGAAACAAGUCUCCAAGCCUAUGGAAAAAGUGAUUCUCUAUAUCAUACAUUGCAGUGGGAGUACAAAAGGUCCUUUGAAAAAACAAAAACAUUCAUUAAAAGUGAUCAUUCACGCUGUUUCUCUAGGGAAACAAGAAACAGCAAGCCAAAAAUGAAGAGCAGUUUCUCUCCAUGCUUACUCAUUGAUGAGAGUCAGUCAUUUACAUGCAAGCCUCUGUUAUCUUAGAUGCUUCGGCUAUCCCACCUGCCCUCUAGCUGCUACUCCAAAAGGGCAGCUAUUAGUCCCCUACUGUUUUUGCUUGCUUCAUUUUUUUAACCACUUCUUAAAAGCCACUGUAGUACCAACAUGUAACUUAAGGGAGAGAAAUAACUAAAACCUUAAAAGCAAAUUAAAAAACACUAGCUUCAGCAAUGCUGUAUUUUACAUAUCCCUCAGUAAGCAGCUUCUAAUAGAGUAUUUUGGCAAGGAGAACCCUACUCUAAACUCUAGAACAGAGUGCAACUGAAAUUAAUGAGGCCUGCUUCAGCAGAUGUUGAAGAACUAGAACAGUUUACAAGUGGACAAAGGAAUUCUUUUGAAAGAGUGGCAAAUCCUGCUGGAUUACAAUGAGUAGUUACAACUUCCAAAUGAACAAAUAGAAGUAUAUCUUAAUUAUAAUAUUUCCUCUUGCCUCACAGACUUAUACUAGUUAGCUCAAAAUAAGCCAUUCAAGGAAUUUUCUGAGUUAGGCAAAUAAAUAAAGUAUUCACAAAUAUAAAUGUAAAUCUAUCACCCCUUUCUUGACAUCAGACAGUUAAGCCCAGAAGACAGGUCACGAAGAAGGAUCGUUAGCAGUGAUUAUUCAAAGCCAAUGGGAAGAUGGAAAAGAAGAAAGAUGAGCUAACAACUGAGAAAGGAUGGCAAUCAAAGCUUACAGAGGAGGCAACACAGCUGUGGUGUUGUCUGGGAUUCUUUUUGGUUGGUUGUUUUUGCCUUAAGCAUAUGAUUCACAAGCUGUCUCAGAUGUUGAGACUUCACUCUAAUAAACAAGGACAAGGGGACCCUCAAGAACACCUCUACCAAAGAGAGAAAAUGUUCCUGUCUUCAAUUUUUUGUUAGUGGGGCAACUUAAACUGUUGAAAUCACAAGGAAAAUGAAAAUCUAACUUCCUUGUAAUAUUUCUCACCUCUAACCUAGCUAAUUCUAUGAUUCUAAUCUCUGGAGUCUUUAUAAUAUCCCAGGUAGCUCAACCAGGUGCUUCAGACUUCUGUUGUAUCAGAGUUGUUUUCUUUGUCUUCUCAUAGUACUAUAGCUUGAAAAAGAUGAGAUGAUGCCAGGAGGCGAGAAACACAUGAACACAAAGCACCGUGUGCUUCCCUCAUUAACAUUUCAGUAUCACUGGAAGCAGAUGGCAACUUUUUUUCUUAUGACGACAUCAGAGCCACUCUAAUCUUUUCAGUCUCUCAGCACCUUUGUGGACAGCCCUAGCAGCAUUUUCAUUUCAUGACCCUGGAUUCCAUUCACAUAUAAGCACGAAAACAAUUCUUGAAGAAUAUUCAGAAAUCUCAAAAAAAAAUCAAGUCCUAAUUUAAUGCAAAUUAACUUCUUCAAAAUCUUCAUAGCAAUUCUAGAAAAAGCAUUUUUAACCAUAGAUAUAAUGCCACAGUUCUGUGAAGAUGUUCACCAACAUAAAAAUGUUUUUGGUAAAAAAAAAUUAGAUGUUCUCACCUUGUUGAAAGCCUAGAAAAGUCUUCUUGACAUUUCUUACCAUGGGUGAGAUGGGAAAUCUACCAUAGAAAACUUCUAGCAGUUGCAUACCUUAAGGAAAUGCUAUUUACAAUCUACAAUUGCUUAAUCUGCUGUUCCCAUACAAAAAUCAGCCAAGUAUUUGAGCUAACAAAAAGAAUAAUAGCUAAACACAUGCAAACUUUUCUCUUCACUAUCACAAAAACUUAAGAAACCAUAAGAACUCCCAUCAGAAAAACAUAUUCCAGAGUUUACAAUUAGAACUCAUGGUUGGUAAGGCUUUUUCUGCUUGUCACUUAACAAGGCAGAGAUAAAGUUUCCAAUGUUUAAUUAACCUGAAAAAUGAACCACAACAAAUUAAGAAAAAUAUCAUCUAUAUCAUCUAGGUAUGCAAGUAUCCAGAGUUCUUGCGACACAAAGUUCCAAGUAACAUUACUGUUUUCCUGCCCUAAUCUCUCUUGCUUUUUAUCAUUAGAUGGGCAAAAUUUACACCACCAGAUCAAGUAUUAUCCACUAUUCUGGCUAUUCAGGAAUUUUUUAAAAGCAAGUACUACAUGAAGUACUAAUGUCUGUCUGCUCAGUUCUGAAAUUACAAGUAAAUUUACAGUCACAUAUGGAACACAUCCACAGGCAGACAACCGCUAUAUUAAACAUCCUAAAAAUUAAGUAGGAUUCAGGUUUAGAAAAGUACAGAGAAAAUAACAGCUAAGACUAUGCCCAAAUCAGUCCCAAUCUCACGAAAAUUCUAGACUAUCCUUUCUGGGUUCAUAGACUUGUCAAGCAGCUUAAGGUCCUCUGUAACAGUUACAACUUCUGCUUAGUUAGCUGUCUUUUUGUAUACAAUUUUUAACAUAAUCAAGUAUUUUAUCCAUCUCCAAGAGCACUAGACAACAAGUUCACACAAGAAUGAAAGGCUCUCCUGUUCCCUCCCUGUCAAGUUUAUGUCAGUUCAAAACACUGUGAGGAGAUACGCAUAAGGGAAAGUGACCUUCUCACAUGCAUAUCGCUUCAUAGAUUCUUCAGGGUCUCUCUCUGCCAGGAGUACCUGACUCUCACUAUCAACUCUCUCAUCAUUUGUGUUUGAGCAACAUAUGCAACAUUGCAAUUAUUUUCUUAAGUGUAAUCAGGGUAGAUUUCUCCUAGGCUUGCCCAGUGUACCCAUACACAUACAUUCACACACACACUGUAAUGCAUACAGUAUCUCAAGAUGUAUACAGUAGAAAUGUUGAAGACUUGGUCAGAGAAUUCAGGAGCCUGUUUCCAAGUUCAUCCUGCAGCCUAAGUCCAAAAGUUUUUCAAACACUUGCUAAACAGUACUGUGGCUGGCCCUCUCUACCAAUCCAUCUUAGUACACACAACACAUAUACACGUGCUUUAAAAGGAAGCAAGUAAAAGUCAAAUUUAUGAAUGCGUUAUGGAAUUAAAAUUUUGCAGAUGUAUUUCCCUACAAACUUACUAAAGAUAAUUACAUGGGCAGAAACCAUCUGCUUAUACUUUGCCUUUAAAAAAUAAAUACACCUUGUUAAUUAACAAAAUAGAAGUACUAUCCUACAUAAAGAAAGUUGACUAAACACAAGUGAGAAAGACAACUCUUACUUUGAUUUACCUAUUCUACCCUAUGCAAUAGCAAUCAUCUUCCAGUGUUUUCCUGCAAUGGCCAAAGCUCGCUCUUUGGCAAAACCAGCUCUCUCCCUCCAGGCUCUAGACCUCACCUGAGAUUUAAGGUCACAAAUACAAUUUAAGACACUCCUGAUAGGUCAGUCUAGUUUUGUAAAUGCAAAACAGUCUGUUAAAACUGAAAUUAAUGACUUCCAGGUAAACAGUAUUGACCUUCAUAUGCAUUAUUCUUCCCGUUAACACAGCCAAGCAUGUCACCAAGUACCGAUUAACACAGUUAUCACAGUAACAGGCAGUUGGGAAGAGCUGCCUCCUUUUAAAACAAAACUGUUAACACAGCAGUAGUUCAGUGGUAGUAAAACUACAAGUCUGUCCAUUAGCUUACAGUCAGUGAAAUCAGCUACGUUGUGACUAUUAACAAAAAUCUUUAUGAGUAUUGCUUAUUUCAAUUAAGAGCACCUAGGCCCUCUGAUUCGUCUGCAGCUGUCAGAGCGAUUGAAGCAUGCCAGCAUAAAAACACACAGGGAAAGCAGCCAAGGAGGUGCCUUUGAGCAUUGCCUAGGAUAAUUCGGCGCAUUCCAAAGUGUGACUUCUGCUCCAGGUUGGGAGUCCCUCAGGAUCAUUAGCACUUCUCAUGAGCUUAAGCAAGACAUCACCUGCUUGGAAGACUAUGAAAACAAGAUUACGCUCAAAAUAGGAACGGACAGAGAAAGGACUCCUAAUCUGCCUGAAAAAGCCAUACUGUAACUUCUGUAUUCAUCAACAGGAAAGUGCAAUUUGUUCCAACAUCCAAUAAAGUCCAGUGAGCCCAAUUCUUUUGUGAAUUGACUCAAAUAAGUCUGUAGAUAACUAAUAUUUCUUCUAAGCAUGAAAGUCAUUUUCAUUUGAAUCUGUGUAGUGCUUGUACUAUCAAGUAAAUAGAAAAAGUAUUCUAGAAUCCUUGCCACAGUGAGAAAAAUAAGUACUACAAUCAUCACGUGGCUGAAAUUUAAGCUUCAAGCCACAAGUCUUACGUUUCAGAAGAGGAUGCAAGUUUCUUGAUUAGCGAAGGGAUCCAUUAGAGUUCAUAUUUUCUAUAAAGAACAGAAAACAGAGUGAUACUGUCUGCUGACACCUAGAGAACUUUAGAGUAUGCUACUAAUGGCAGCUAGGAUGCGACACAGCAACUUUGAGUAUCCACACAAAUGAACAGUCUUCACAGGUACAAGCUUAUAACUUAUUGGACAGGGAAGAAAUUAAGUGUACCAAAGCUGCAGAAUGAAACAUAUUGACACAUUUUCUGAAGAUAGGCAGCUGAUAUGGGAAUCAGUUGAUAACUAGGUUGAGAGGUUCAAUUGCUUGCAUCUCUCCAAAAUGAAGUGAAAAGCACACUAAUGAAUGUUACACAGACAGCACAAAAUCAUGAAACUAUUGGAGAUACCUACAGAAUUAACAAUUCAGUACACUUCUCACACAACAGUUAAAGUAAAAAUGACCACAGCUCCCUUUCUUCCUAUCUAGCUCUAGGCCACAGGAGAGGAACUUUUUAAAGUAUGUAAGAGAAUCUUCUGUUGAUCUCUAAUCUUUAAGGAGACGAACAACAGUACUUAUUGACAUAGCAUGAAUCAUCUUCCUUUAGUACUGGUAGUGAACAAACAGAAAAGUUUGUCA